CCUACGGGGUGCCGCAGUGGGGAAUAUUGGACAAUGGGGGACACCCUGAUCCAGCGACGCCGCGUGAGUGAAGAAGUAUUUCGGUACGUAACGCUCUAUCAGCAGGAAAGAAAAUGACGGUACCUGACUAAGAAGCCCCGGCUAACUACGUGCCAGCAGCCGCGGUAAUACGUAGGGGGCAAUCGUUAUCCGGAUUUACUGGGUGUAAAGGGAUCGUAGACGGCAGCGCAAGUCUGGAGGGAAAUGCCGGGGCACAACCCCGGAACUGCUCUGGAAACUGGGAAGCUGGAGUGCAGGAGAGGUAAGCGGAAUGCCUGGUGUAGCGGUGACAUGCGUAGAUAGCAGGAGGAACACCGGCGGCGAAGGCGGCUUACUGGACUGUAACUGACGUUGAGGCUCGAAGGCGUGGGGAGCAAACAGGAUUAGAUACCCCUGGUAGUC
rnacentral:rRNA from 1 species